GAUGAACGCUGGCGGCGUGCCUAAUACAUGCAAGUCGAGCGAACGGACGAGAAGCUUGCUUCUCUGAUGUUAGCGGCGGACGGGUGAGUAACACGUGGAUAACCUACCUAUAAGACUGGGAUAACUUCGGGAAACCGGCGCUAAUACCGGAUGAUAUUUUGCACCGCAUGGUUCAAAAGUGAAAGACGGUCUUUCUUUCACUUAUAGAUGGAUCCGCGCUGCAUUAGCUAGUUGGUAAGGUAACGGCUUACCAAGGCAACGAUGCAUAGCCGACCUGAGAGGGUGAUCGGCCACACUGGAACUGAGACACGGUCCAGACUCCUACGGGAGGCAGCAGUAGGGAAUCUUCCGCAAUGGGCGAAAGCCUGACGGAGCAACGCCGCGUGAGUGAUGAAGGUCUUCGGAUCGUAAAACUCUGUUAUUAGGGAAGAACAUAUGUGUAAGUAACUGUGCACAUCUUGACGGUACCUAAUCAGAAAGCCACGGCUAACUACGUG
rnacentral:rRNA from 1 species